rnacentral:rRNA from 1 species
AAACCUGCCCAGAAGCGGGGGAUAACACCUGGAAACAGAUGCUAAUACCGCAUAACAACUUGGACCGCAUGGUCCGAGCUUGAAAGAUGGCUUCGGCUAUCACUUUUGGAUGGUCCCGCGGCGUAUUAGCUAGAUGGUGGGGUAACGGCUCACCAUGGCAAUGAUACGUAGCCGACCUGAGAGGGUAAUCGGCCACAUUGGGACUGAGACACGGCCCAAACUCCUACGGGAGGCAGCAGUAGGGAAUCUUCCACAAUGGACGAAAGUCUGAUGGAGCAACGCCGCGUGAGUGAAGAAGGGUUUCGGCUCGUAAAACUCUGUUGUUAAAGAAGAACAUAUCUGAGAGUAACUGUUCAGGUAUUGACGGUAUUUAACCAGAAAGCCACGGCUAACUACGUGCCAGCAGCCGCGGUAAUACGUAGGUGGCAAGCGUUGUCCGGAUUUAUUGGGCGUAAAGCGAGCGCAGGCGGUUUUUUAAGUCUGAUGUGAAAGCCUUCGGCUCAACCGAAGAAGUGCAUCGGAAACUGGGAAACUUGAGUGCAGAAGAGGACAGUGGAACUCCAUGUGUAGCGGUGAAAUGCGUAGAUAUAUGGAAGAACACCAGUGGCGAAGGCGGCUGUCUGGUCUGUAACUGACGCUGAGGCUCGAAAGUAUGGGUAGCAAACAGGAUUAGAUACCCUGGUAGUCCAUACCGUAAACGAUGAAUGCUAAGUGUUGGAGGGUUUCCGCCCUUCAGUGCUGCAGCUAACGCAUUAAGCAUUCCGCCUGGGGAGUACGGCCGCAAGGCUGAAACUCAAAGGAAUUGACGGGGGCCCGCACAAGCGGUGGAGCAUGUGGUUUAAUUCGAAGCUACGCGAAGAACCUUACCAGGUCUUGACAUACUAUGCAAAUCUAAGAGAUUAGACGUUCCCUUCGGGGACAUGGAUACAGGUGGUGCAUGGUUGUCGUCAGCUCGUGUCGUGAGAUGUUGGGUUAAGUCCCGCAACGAGCGCAACCCUUAUUAUCAGUUGCCAGCAUUAAGUUGGGCACUCUGGUGAGACUGCCGGUGACAAACCGGAGGAAGGUGGGGAUGACGUCAAAUCAUCAUGCCCCUUAUGACCUGGGCUACACACGUGCUACAAUGGAUGGUACAACGAGUUGCGAACUCGCGAGAGUAAGCUAAUCUCUUAAAGCCAUUCUCAGUUCGGAUUGUAG